UACGUAGGGUGCAAGCGUUUGUCCGGAAUUAUUGGGCGUAAAGAGCUUGUAGGCGGUUUGUCGCGUCUGCUGUGAAAUUUCGGGGCUCAACCCCGAACUUGCAGUGGGUACGGGCAGACUAGAGUGUGGUAGGGGAGACUGGAAUUCCUGGUGUAGCGGUGAAAUGCGCAGAUAUCAGGAGGAACACCGAUGGCGAAGGCAGGUCUCUGGGCCAUAACUGACGCUGAGAGCGAAAGCAUGGGGAGCGAACAGG
rnacentral:rRNA from 1 species